rnacentral:snoRNA from 1 species
AUGCCAUGAUGAGGCACUUCCAUAAUAACUCAUUGAAUUGCUCCCACGCCUCAUAUAAAGAUUUUUCAUCAAAUUGCUUAAAUGAAGUGUUUCAUUUUGAAGCUU